rnacentral:ncRNA from 2 species
UAUCUUUGUUGCCGAAUUGGUUCCGGGCAGAGUUCUUCCUCUAUCCGGAUGAAAAGGGAAUCGGGUGCAAAUCCCGGACAGUCCCGCUGCUGUGAAACUCCGUUUUUAUAAAUUACGAUAAAUACUAUAAUGGCCACUGGCUGCUUCGAGGAGACGAAGCGCGGGAAGGCGUCGGAAAUGAGGAGUCAGUCAGAAGACCUGCCGUUCAUCAAAGGCUGUU